CUCUUUCCCGCCCUUUCUCUUCGCGCGUACUCCUCUCGUGGCCACCUCAACGCCGAGGGCUUAACGAGUACGUGUGCUUGUGCGCGCGCGCUUGUCUGCUGCGCUCAUUCCGUUUCUUGAGUUGUUCGCGUUCCUGCCCCCCUUCUCCCCCCCUGACAGCAUCUCUCUCCCUGCCUGGGUAUCGCCAAACACACGCACACGCGCGGCACCGAUCGAUCACAUCACCGCCGCCGUUCCGCCGACUUCCUUCAGCCUCUGAGCCGCCUGCGCAGCCGUGGUCGGUUAUGCUUUGGCGUGGUGCAGCCGACCGCAUUACACGAACACACAACCUGAAAAGCGAACACAUCUUUGGGCCAGCAUGGCAGACCGCAAUCCCACCAAGGAGAGCACCUCCUCAGCCCCGCUGCACCCGCUCAAGGACAAAUGGUUUGUCUUCUACAUCCCGGCCUCGAAGGGCAACGAGUACGAGCAUGAGACCAAGGAGCUCGGCUACGUCUCCACCAUUGAGGAAGUGUACAGCACCAUUAACACGCUGCCACCCAUCACACUGCUGCCGAACGAUGACAACCUCGUCUUCUCGCGUAACAAAAUUGAGCCGCAGUUUGAGAGCUUCCCGGGUGGCAUGCGCUUCUCCAUCUUCUGCAAGACCAAGACGCAAUGCCGCGAGGCACUGACGUACGUUGUCGCGGUCGUGCUUGGGGAGGCGAUCAGUCGCGACGCCUGCAAAGGGGAGCGCCUGUGCGACAUUGUGCGCAUCGGCCACAAGGGCAGUGCCAUGUACAAGGAGUCCGUGCGCAUUGAGGUGUGGGCGCACCAAAGUCCGUACAACGCGGCGAUGGAGAAGUACCUCGUGUCUACCCUCUCCACCAUCCCCGGCAUUACGGUGAGCGCUCGCCCGUUCAAGUAGGACGCGGGGCCCCGCAGAUAAACAUAUGCGUAUGUGUGUGGGCGUGCAUGUGUGUAUAGAGUCUCAGGCGUGGUGCCCUUCCUGCGUGGGUGGGGGGUGUACGUUGGUGCCAUUCGGUAGUGGUGGAGAGGCCGUGUGGCGGCGCUGGAAAGGUCGAUGCGCGGGAGGGGAAGAGAGCGAAAAGCUUCAGCAAUGCAUGUGGAUACACGCCCCUCGCUCAUUCUUCUCUCUCGAUCGGUUUGUUGGUGCUGCUACAUUGUCGUUGGUAAUAUUCAGGCAGGCCACCGCGAGACAUGCGCGUGGUGCUCGACAGC
rnacentral:misc_RNA from 1 species